GUUUGAUCAUGGCUCAGGAUGAACGCUAGCUACAGGCUUAACACAUGCAAGUCGAGGGGCAGCAUUCUUCUAGCAAUAGAAGAGAUGGCGACCGGCGCACGGGUGAGUAACACGUAUCCAACCUGCCGAUAACUCCGGGAUAGCCUUUCGAAAGAAAGAUUAAUACCGGAUAGUAUACGAAUAUCGCAUGAUAUUUUUAUUAAAGAAUUUCGGUUAUCGAUGGGGAUGCGUUCCAUUAGUUUGUUGGCGGGGUAACGGCCCACCAAGACUACGAUGGAUAGGGGUUCUGAGAGGAAGGUCCCCCACAUUGGAACUGAGACACGGUCCAAACUCCUACGGGAGGCAGCAGUGAGGAAUAUUGGUCAAUGGGCGCAGGCCUGAACCAGCCAAGUAGCGUGAAGGAUGAAGGCUCUAUGGGUCGUAAACUUCUUUUAUAUGGGAAUAAAGUUUUCCACGUGUGGAAUUUUGUAUGUACCAUAUGAAUAAGGAUCGGCUAACUCCGUGCCAGCAGCCGCGGUAAUACGGAGGAUCCGAGCGUUAUCCGGAUUUAUUGGGUUUAAAGGGAGCGUAGGUGGAUUGUUAAGUCAGUUGUGAAAGUUUGCGGCUCAACCGCUAAAAUUGCAGUUGAAACUGGGAGUCUUGAGUACAGUAGA
rnacentral:rRNA from 1 species